UUCUGGGAAGGUUAUUUUAAAGAUGGCGGGCGUUUUGGAAUUUAUUCGUGGAGUGCAUGAGAAAUGUUCAAUAUACAGCUACUUGGAUUACACAAACAGAGAAAGAUAGAUUAUACCAGUUAAAUCGAGAGGUUUUAUUUGAAAAUCCUAUAUUUGAGCACCAUUCGUGGCAGUCAUGUCGAGGAAGUUAUAAAAAGGUUGAUAAGGGCUUUGUAUAUGGAAGCUAGAUGACAUUACUACUUAUCAUACACAACUAUUUGUCACAUACCGACUUGGGAUUGAAACCAAGCAACUGAACUCAAUAACACUCCUCAAUAACACUCGUCUAUGAAACCACCCAGAUGGCAAAGAAAUAAAGACUUUUUAAUUAUGUACCGAAAUCAUAUAUGUAUCUAUGGUAGCACAAAAUUCACCAGAAUGUAGGCCAAAGCUUUACUUUACAAGCAGUAGGCCUAAAAAAUUUUCCGUCUGAUCUUGUAAGAGUCAAUUGUUUAUGAAUAGUUUGCCUCAAGCAGAUAUCCUGUCACUGUGUCACAGUAUCAUAUAACAGCUCUUUGGCUUGAACUGAGUUGUAUCAGUGAGUUGAAAAUCUACUGCAGCCAGUAUUCUAUGGCGGUAUAUUAGAUUCAAAAUUCUAACGAGCUUUCGUCUAACUUCUAACUUCUGUUCAUGUAAUUUUUAACUUCUAUUCAUGUAGUUUCUAACUUCUAUUCAUGUAUUUUUUUAAAUUAAGACAAUGUAUAAUCCAACUUCUUUAUUUGUUCAGUGUAAAUUUUAAUUCUAUUCCAUCUUAUUUCUAUUAUUUAGACGAAAAACGUCUUCUUAAUUUUUACACUUCUGCCUAGCAACCAUCAUUAUGAAGUCAUUUGGUGUCGCCACUGCGUGCUCAUUUUUGGUGAUUGUGCACCUGGUCGGGACCAUUGUGUUGAUAUAAACGACACAUUCUUGAUAAAGACGAGAGUAUCCUCGUCGAAACGUUGCUUUAUAUUAAACUCAGUAAGAGUUAUCUAUAAAAUUGUACCCUGUGUUAAUGUAGACCAACAGUAUAUAAAUAUUAAUUGGCUCAACUGUAAAAAAAAAUCAAAUAAAAUUCUCCAAAUCCUG